UUACUACUCAGAGGGCUGAUGUCCUUCAGCUAGAGGGGAUCUGGCAAAAUGCACAGAAAGGAGAACUCCUCUCCCUGACUUUAACCUGUCCACCUUCAAUCAGAGACUCUGGACUCAGAUUAAAUAAAGGAAUGAAUGCUGAGGGAGGAGUUCACUGCUGAUGCCUGAACAGACAUGAAUGAAGUGAAGGAGCGAGCCAUGCAGGAAUCUGGAGGGAGUGAAGUCUCAGCAAGAAGAAUAUUGCAGAAUUGGAGUGGAAGAACAUGCCCUAUUGCCAUUGCCAUCACCCUUCUUCCACAAAAGGCUAAAGAUUUGUGAAGACUGUAGAUUGACUGAAAAGGACUUCGACUCUCCAUUGAAUGCUUGCGCUCAGACGAUCUACCCGAGGGCUUGUGUCCUGCUUUCUUCAAUGAGGUGAAUGUGAGGACACAAUAAAUUAUAUUCAAAUGGCAGUCAUGGAGGAAACUUCCCUUUCCUUCCUCAUCCACCAAGCUGAUCGAUGGGCGCUAAAGCCCCGGGGAAGCAGCAUCUGUUGUAACUCAAGGAUCCCUGCUCGAGCUGAGUAUGAAAUUAACAGACACAGAGCAGUUAGCAGCUCAACAUUUGUUCAAGUCUGGCACAUGCACACAUCAUUAGCAACUAUAUUUGAGGAGCAAGAUCAAGGAGGUGAGGAAGAGGGUGUAUCUGAUUAAAGGGAUAUUCAGGAAAGAGGAAAUUCAGAGCAUUUAGGUAAAGCUUCAUGGCUAAAAUAAAUGAACUGGAGAGCAGAGCAAACAGCCAGGGACAUGGGAUAAUUUUGCCCGUGCAACUUCCCAAACAAAGUCAUUUCACGCAGUGGAUCCCCCAGAGUGGCUGGCUGCCUCUUUUACUU